rnacentral:rRNA from 1 species
GAUGGACGCUGGCGGCGUGCCUAAUACAUGCAAGUCGAGCGAACAGAUGAGGAGCUUGCUCCUCUGACGUUAGCGGCGGACGGGUGAGUAACACGUGGAUAACCUACCUAUAAGACUGGGAUAACUUCGGGAAACCGGAGCUAAUACCGGAUAAUAUAUUGAACCGCAUGGUUCAAUAGUGAAAGACGGUUUUGCUGUCACUUAUAGAUGGAUCCGCGCCGCAUUAGCUAGUUGGUAAGGUAACGGCUUACCAAGGCAACGAUGCGUAGCCGACCUGAGAGGGUGAUCGGCCACACUGGAACUGAGACACGGUCCAGACUCCUACGGGAGGCAGCAGUAGGGAAUCUUCCGCAAUGGGCGAAAGCCUGGCGGAGCAACGCCGCGUGAGUGAUGAAGGUCUUCGGAUCGUAAAACUCUGUUAUUAGGGAAGAACAAAUGUGUAAGUAACUAUGCACGUCUUGACGGUACCUAAUCAGAAAGCCACGGCUAACUACGUG